UUCAAUCCCUCUCUCACACGCUCUCCUCUCUCCCUUCCUACAGAUCUCUCCUUCCUCUCUCUCUUCCUGUCGAUCUCUCUCCCUCCUCUCUCUCUUCAUGGUGAAAAUCUGGUGACUCGCCUGAUGGCAAAGGUGGAUUUGAAGCUCGGGUUAAAUCAGAUUCACACAGGACUGGAGCCUGGAGCAGUUGAUGUGUUUCUUGAUUUCAUUUACUACUCAGGUGGUCCUCUACCUGACGAACUGCUCACCCAAGUUAAGGGAAUUCAUGUUUCAGAGGACUUUGUUGCCGAGCAAUUGAGGUCCAUGAUUUCUGAUAUGUAGGUUGAUGUGGUAAGUGACAAG